AGAACUGUCAAGCUCUAGUCACCAGAGCAGUACGGUCAACUAAAACUUAAAGAACUUGGCGGUUUUCUAGAUCUCCUUGGAGGAGCUUGUCAUCGAAUUGAUAACCCACAAGAUACCUCACCAACUCAAGACUUAUCAGCUUGUAUACCAUCGUCGUCAGCUCACAUCAAAAGAGAGUAAGCCAAAUGGAAAAUACCCACAACGUCAGAUCAAGGUGCAGCUAAUGAGCUGGGGAUAGAUGAGCUACUUUAUUCACAAAACAGAGGAAGUAACCAUGAAAAACUUACCGAAAAAGGAUUCAACAGUAACAAAGUAAAUAAAAACUUUGUGAACCAAGCUCUAGAAUGCGCACACACCGCCCGUCACCCUC
rnacentral:rRNA from 1 species